rnacentral:tRNA from 1 species
GGGUCGGUGGCGUAGUUGGUUAUCGCAUCUGUCUAACAGUGAAUUUCAUUGGGGCACAGAAGGUCCUCAGUUCGAUCCUGGGCCGACUCA